rnacentral:piRNA from 1 species
UGAGCUCUAAAGGAAUCUCUUGAGAUUGUC